ACUUCCCCUAGAGGCACUACAGGUAUGGCUAUGUCACAUGUGCAUUGGUAGAUGGCCAAGAGAAGAAAAUUAUCUACACUUCGUGUUCUGACCUAUGAACAUCUGAACAGAUUAGCAGCCUAACUUC
ensembl:snoRNA Gm23223 predicted gene, 23223